rnacentral:rRNA from 1 species
UACGUAGGGUGCGAGCGUUUGUCCGGAAUUACUGGGCGUAAAGAGUUCGUAGGCGGUUUGUCGCGUCGUUCGUGAAAACUUGGGGCUUAACUCCAAGCGUGCGGGCGAUACGGGCAGACUUGAGUACUACAGGGGAGACUGGAAUUCCUGGUGUAGCGGUGAAAUGCGCAGAUAUCAGGAGGAACACCGGUGGCGAAGGCGGGUCUCUGGGUAGUAACUGACGCUGAGGAACGAAAGCGUGGGUAGCGAACAGG